rnacentral:rRNA from 1 species
UACGGAGGGGGCUAGCGUUGUUCGGAAUUACUGGGCGUAAAGCGCACGUAGGCGGCUUUUUAAGUCAGGGGUGAAAUCCUGGAGCUCAACUCCAGAACUGCCUUUGAUACUGAGAAGCUUGAGUCCGGGAGAGGUGAGUGGAACUGCGAGUGUAGAGGUGAAAUUCGUAGAUAUUCGCAAGAACACCAGUGGCGAAGGCGGCUCACUGGCUCGGUACUGACGCUGAGGUGCGAAAGCGUGGGGAGCAAACAGG